GGGCAGGUGGCGGAACCGGCAGACGCGCAUGUUUGAGGGGCAUGUCCCGAAAGGGGUAGGGGUUCAACUCCCCUCCUGCCCA
rnacentral:tRNA from 1 species